UGCCUCAGGAUGAACGCUAGCGGCAGGCUUAACACAUGCAAGUCGAGGGGUAUGGUUCUUCGGAACCAGAGACCGGCGCACGGGUGCGUAACGCGUAUGCAAUCUACCUUUUACAGAGGGAUAGCCCAGAGAAAUUUGGAUUAAUACCUCAUAGUAUAGCAGUUUCGCAUGAAACCACUAUUAAAGUCACAACGGUAAAAGAUGAGCAUGCGUCCCAUUAGCUAGUUGGUAAGGUAACGGCUUACCAAGGCUACGAUGGGUAGGGGUCCUGAGAGGGAGAUCCCCCACACUGGUACUGAGACACGGACCAGACUCCUACGGGAGGCAGCAGUGAGGAAUAUUGGACAAUGGGCGCAAGCCUGAUCCAGCCAUGCCGCGUGCAGGAUGACGGUCCUAUGGAUUGUAAACUGCUUUUAUACAGGAAGAAACCCUGGUUCGUGAACCAGCUUGACGGUACUGUAAGAAUAAGGAUC
rnacentral:rRNA from 1 species